rnacentral:rRNA from 1 species
AGUGGACGCUGGCGGUAGGCCUAACACAUGCAAGUCGAACGGCAGCACAGUAAGAGCUUGCUCUUACGGGUGGCGAGUGGCGGACGGGUGAGGAAUACAUCGGAAUCUACUUUUUCGUGGGGGAUAACGUAGGGAAACUUACGCUAAUACCGCAUACGACCUACGGGUGAAAGCAGGGGAUCUUCGGACCUUGCGCGAUUGAAUGAGCCGAUGUCGGAUUAGCUAGUUGGCGGGGUAAAGGCCCACCAAGGCGACGAUCCGUAGCUGGUCUGAGAGGAUGAUCAGCCACACUGGAACUGGGACACGGUCCAGACUCCUACGGGAAGCAGCAGUGGGGAAUAUUGGACAAUGGGCGCAAGCCUGAUCCAGCCAUACCGCGUGGGUGAAGAAGGCCUUCGGGUUGUAAAGCCCUUUUGUUGGGAAAGAAAAGCAGCAGGUUAAUACCCCGCUGUUCUGACGGUACCCAAAGAAUAAGCACCGGCUAACUUCGUG